CGCACGUCCAGCUUACAGCUCUGCCUGGCCGCUAAUGGUGAAGCAGAGGAGAUGGCUGUCAUGGUAACUCACGCUGGGCGCCUUUAGAAGGCAAGAACGCUAAGUGGCAGAGGAAGACUCUGGGGAUGGUGAAACUAAGGCCUCAGGGAAGUAAUUUGCCCAAGGUCACGGAGCUGUGCCAGAGCUGGGAUUCAAACAGGAGCGCCUGACCCUAGCACCUGGGCUCAUGACAGCUGAUCAUCAUGGAACCAAACACCGAGGACGUGCUAAUGGGGUGGAAUCCCAGCCUUGUCUGCCCUGACAACUCGCGCCCUGUCUUGCGAGGACCGCAGCGCAGGGCGCUCCUGGGCCACCCACUCA